UCUCCCUGAGCAGGAAAUAAUCCCAAAACUUUCAUGGUUAUUUGUUCAUUUCCUCAAAAAUGAUAUUGUUACUUUAGACGGAGACAAAAGGCUGAGUGAAUGAAUGAAUGAAUCCGUCACCUUUGGUCCUGGUAAACCAACACCGUCUGAUCCGGUCUCUCCCAGCAGACCUGGAGGUCCUGGAAGACCCUGAGAAACAGAAGAUGAAGACGAUGAAGAUGAAGAUGUGACUCUGCUUGAUGAAGGUCCAGAAAAACCUCGUCCUGGUUCUCCCACAGCUCCAGCUGGACCUUGAGGACCUGGUUCUCCCUGAACAAAACAAAGUAGUUCAGUCAACCGAUGUCUCUGCAGUUUGGCAGUUAAAGCAUCAGUACGUGAUCUCACCUUGGCUCCAGGUAUUCCUCGACCCGAGGGUCCAGUUGUUCCUGGAGGACCUGGAUUUCCUGCUUCUCCCUGAAGAAGAAGAAGAAGAAGAUUUUACGUUUGUGGGAACCUUUACCUGGAGCGCCGUCAGGUCCCCGGGGUCCUGGUAACCCGAGGUCACCCUGUCAUCAGUGGAGUGAACGUCAGUGAAGCCAUGACACGGAUUUAUGAAAACAUGAAAACAUGAAUUUACCUUCUGUCCUGCAACUCCGUCUUCUCCAGGCUGACCUGGAAAACCUGGCAACCCCUCAGCUCCUGGAUCACCCUGACAGACAGACAGACACAGAGACAGACACAGACACAGACACACAGACAAUAACACAUGUGAGUUUCAGUCUUUGUUGGUGAAACAUUGACUCACAGUUCAGUGAAGAAUGAGCAUGAACUGACUUUAGGUCCUGGUUGUCCCACUCCUCUCUCUCCUGGAACUCCAGCUUCACCUGGAAGACCCUGAUUCCCCUGAACAGAAUGUUCUUCAUCAUCAUCAUCAUCAUCAUCACCUCCAUCAUCAUCAUCAUCAUCAUCCUCUGCUGGUUUACCUUUGGUCCUGUGAGUCCAAUUCCUGGAGCUCCUCUUGGUCCUGAAGGUCCCACUGGACCUUGAUCGCCCUUUCAACAGGAAGAUGAAGACCUGGACCUGGAGCACCAAGUGGACCUGGAACUCCAGGUGGUCCAAAACUGCCCUGAGAAAACAAUGUUCUUGUUUCUUAAAGGACCUAAAGGUCCUGGUCUUCCCUGAAGACCCUUUUCACCCUGGAAGCAUCACAGUCAACCACGUCAGAGUCAGUAAGUGAUAAUAUUUAUCCUACAUCAGAAAGAUGAUUUAUUUAUGCAUUGUUGCUGCCAAAGAUUCUUCUUUAAAGGUCCAGUCUGUAAGAGUUAGUGACAUCUAGUGGAGAAAAUGCAGAUGACCACAAAUGGUGGCUUUCACAUAUGGCAUAUUUCCACCAGCUCUACUCGCCUUGCCUAAACUGGUGGCUAGUUCUUAGCACAAGUUAGUCCGACUUUGAGAAAUUCAAUCUGGUACAGUUUUGGUCAGACUAACAUGUUUUACAUGUAUUUACAUGUAAUUGUCCAGUUGUAGUUGGAUUAAGACAAUAAUGUUUUUAAUUAAUUAAUAGUCAAAAGUGUCACCUUGGAU